UUGAACAGGACCAAGUGCAAAGUUCAACAAACAUCAAUGCACAGGUCUAGCAUGGCUCAGUAAUACUUAUGAAAAAGAGUUUGGAAUAGAAGUUGAUGUCAAACUGAAGACCAUUCAGCAGUGUGAGGUGCCUACAAUAUAGGUGAAUGCAAUUAUAGCAAUGAAAUAGAAAUAAAAUUUCCACAUAAUGGACAGUAAUCAUUCUACUUUUUUCCAUUUUGAUCAGAUUCCACUUCAAGUCCACCACAUUUUAAGAAGGUUUCAGAAAAACUGAGAAAGAGCAAUGAAGAUCAGGAAUCUGGGAAAGAAGCCUAUGAAGAUCGAGUGAAGGAGCUAGAUAUGUUUAGCUGCGAGAAAAGAUGACGGGGUGGGGAGGGGGUGAAGUAUGGUAGCAUUCUUAAAUGCUCAAAAAGUUAAUGCUGAGAAGAUCAAAGCCUGCUUUCUCUUGUUCCAGAGUACAGGGUAUGGAAUACUGGAUUUACAUUUAAAGAAAAGCAGGCUUAAAUGUAUUGUUAGAAAUAAGUUUAUAAUUAAGGGCAGUUCAGUGAAGCUCAGAGAGAUGGUUGCCUCCCCUUCAUUGGAUGUGUUUCAAGCCAUCUGGGAUGCUUUAUUUGGAUUUCUGUAUUGAACAGAAAGCUGGGCACUGCUUAAAUGCCUUCUUCCAAUGCUGAUUCUAUUAUUCUAGUCUUGGCCCAAGAAAACUGUCUUAAUUCAUAAAGUACGGCAUGAUAUAUGGCUAAGACUAGAAUGCAGACCUCCUGUUCCAGUGUUAAAUUGGCAGUGAUGAGUAUGAGAAUUAAAAAGAGGACUAGAAUUUUAUUUCUUAAAAGAGAUUCAUGUAUUUUGCAUUUAAAAGAAAAAGCUCAAACAAGAGAAGCACAUUUGAUAAGCAGAUGAAUGAACUAGAACAUUUGUGAGCAAAUCUACAUGAGCAAGAUUGCAGCAUAAGCUGGCCAGAAUCUAUGGGAGUGGGCAGCCAUAAGCAAUUUAAAUAAAUAAAUAAAUAAAAACUGAGCGGGGUGAUUAGCUAGCCCAGUUUCACAGCUGUCAAGCAAAAAUGAAAAGUCUCUGUCAGAUCAGAAGUACGUGGCAACAAGUAGUUCAGGCACGGUCUGCUCCUUUUGUCCAUCUGUGAGAAAGAAGUCAAGUACUACCCCUUUAAUCUAUUUGCCCAGUUAAAUGACAGCCAUGAUGGCCAAUAUAUGAGGUGUGCUACCCAAAGAGAGAACUGUAGAAGGAACUUCCUGGCUCAGUCUGAAUCCAAUGUUUGAUCUACUGCCUUGGAGCAGGGACUGCUUCCAUAGAAAAUAAUUGAAAAAUAGGUAGCUAUGAUUGGGGAGUAAUGUAUCCAAUCCCAGCCUGCAGGUAGCAGCAGUAACAGGAAUUCAUAUACUUUAGUUUGCAUUCUGGAAGGAAUUUCAGUUUUUUGUGAUAGUCCAUUGAUAGAGAACUGCAGUUCAUAUUUACAUGCUUGGGAAGAGGUGUUUGGCUUGAUGAAUCUGAUGGGAAGAAAUAGCUUGCAGUUUAGAGUGCAGCUGGUGAAAGGGAGAGGAACACUUUGCAGCUGGCUAGCGAAAACUAGCUGUGAGGAACAGCUACGAUAUGAUGCUUUGGGGGAAAAGGUACACUUUUAAACUACCUGUUUCCUUUUAUAUUAUAAAAAGAUGAUACGUCUCCAGCAUUUUAUUCCCUUAAUGGUGUAAUCAUAAUGUUGAUGCACCUAAACAGCAUUGCGAAAGAGUGCAUUUUAAAGGCCUCUGUAGGAAAUGCUCUUCCUGUAUUCCAAGUAACACACACGUUUCGCUGGCUAUCGUUGAACAAACUCUCAGAGUACCACAGUUUGGAUCAAAAUCAGGGAGACCAUUUAAUAUACAAUACUGCUCUGGUUUUCAGCAGGGCAUUUGGGGACAAAGGACCCUAAAAUAUAGAUAGCUCAUUAAAAGGCAUUAACUAUUUCUUUUCAUAUUCCUUUGGUCAAGAUCCAAUUCCAAAGUUUUAAUCACUAACAAAUAUAUUUGAUUAACAGGAAAAACAAAGCAGGCAGGUUCAAAAUCCAUUGAAAACCAUUUGUUUCCAAUUUUCCCUAGUUUGGUCUUAAAAGACACAGGUUCUUUGUAGAAAAGGGAAAUGGACUUCCCUCUUUGGGGCAAGCUUUUUUUGGGGAGUUCCAGAAGCCUUACCUUCUUCCUAGGAAGUAGUCAGAUCUUAUGAUGUGGUGAAACUGUAAUGCUUUGCUUCAGUGUUUUAGCUACAAGAAGUUUUUGACAAAAGUUCUAUAUAGUUUCUUCUUUGAAUCUGAAAUAAAAUGGCACGAUUCG